GUCCAGCUGACGAGUACCAAAUAGGACGAAACCCUCGUCCUGGAU
rnacentral:hammerhead_ribozyme from 1 species